rnacentral:lncRNA from 9 species
AAUCCACCUCCAGAUGGCUGAGUACCUUCAAAGGUGCUUCUGACAUAAAAGGUUAAGACAGAUUUCUUACAUCCAAUCAAUUAUAUUGCCCUUGUAAAUAUGCAACCUGAGUUUUGUUUGUUUUUUAGUCUGAAUGUCUGUAUUAAGAUGGGCUCUCCAGGAAAAAGAUUUUGAGUCUGAGAUUUGUGUGCAGGAUGUUCAUUAGGGAUAUACCCUGGCUCACCCAUGGGGGGUGAAGGACAUGAGACUGGGCACAGGGAAGAGGUGAAUUGGAUGCAAUCACAACAAAAAUCAUUCCAGAAAAGGGACUCAGCUGACAGCUAUCAGCCACCAACAUUUUGCAGUUGGAGGAAUAAAUAUCUCAGUCCUGAAGGGGAAUCCAGACAGCACCUCAUAGCAUUCAUUUCAACAGAACCACUACAAUGGUAAAUCCUCUGCACUCUCCAGCUGUCUGAAGUGUCCCAAGCAAGAAGGAGACUUCUCGACUCCCUCUUUAAAUCAGCCAGUGUCAACAGAUUGAGGAAGAGGAGGAGCUGAAGUGCAGAGGGAGAAGAAGGAAUAGUUUCUGGGCUCACACCCAUAAUCCUACACUGUACACAGAAAAGGAACUGAACAAAUAUUCCGAAGAAAGAAAAGUAGUUGUUCCUGUAUUAUGCAAAUAGAGAAGAAGCUUUUUUAUAUUUCCCCAAGCUUUCCAAAGUGGCUGUUUAUUUUACCAUAAUAUUAUUUUCUUAACAAGUUGCUAAAUAAUUAGUAUUUCCAUUUCAUCCUCUAACUUAUGGAUGCUUUCUGGGUCCCCCUCUUCAUUUUUUAUUCCUCUUGAUUAUUUCUGAUAAGAAAUGAACAGAUCAAAACUAUAGCUGAGGUGACCAAACAUAUGUAUAUAAUCUAUCUGAUGAGGCUAUCAAAAAGCUCAAAUUUGGAGCAUGGUAAAACUAUUUUUUCAAAAAAAAAAAUUAAACUAAACCACCAGUAAAAAUUUUUUUCUAAGACCACACAAUCAGUAGUUUAAGAGAAAAAAAAUGGUUUAUAUUUAAUUGGUCAUGAACUGAGUGAUGUGAUGAAAAGAAAGUGUUAAGAGGAAUAAAACCCCAAAGAUAAUAUUAUAAAGGCUUUCCACAGUUAUCAGACAAAUGGAGAACAAGAGAAAAAGAGGACAAGCAUGGAGAAAAAUGUUCCCUUUCCCAAAAGCUCUUUUUGAAAAUUACUUGGAGACUUAGAGACUCUGUUGACUUUAAUUAAGUGCUCAUUAGAUUGACAAACUUUUUUAAAAAGUGAUCCUGCUUGCCAUGUGGGUUUUCAUAUGCUCUCCUGGCUUUCUGUCUAAAUUACUUUAGAACCCUUCCAGAAUAACUUGUUUGUGCAAGGGAAAUUACUCAUAACCCUUUAAAGAAUUCAGAUAGAUUUUUAUGUCCUGUGGUUACUACUUUAUUAUUUUUACACAGUUUUAUAAUUUUCACUGAAAUCUCUUAACUCCUCCAUCCAAAGUCAAAGUCUUCCUAAAUAGGACUUAAUUCCUCCUGUACCAGUGGGGAAAUAACUUAUAAGCAUUGAAAUCUCCAGAGUCAGAUGUCAACACAGACAUAAUUGAAUAGGUAAAGUCCUGGAGGCUCAGUGAUACCCAAAUAAACAACUAAAUGAUCUUUCCAACCAUUCAUUUCAACAGGAACAAAAUAAAAACUGUUAACUUGGUUAUAUAUUACUGUGUGGGCAUAUUCAUACCACCUUAUGAUUGAACAUUGUACUUUGGAAAUAAUUGCCCUAGAUUUGUCUUAGCCUCAGUUUACCAAGGUACCAGGAAGACUAAUGUUAAAGAAACUAUUGAUGGAUGAGGCAGCACUAGGACAUAAUUCCUGGUCUGUCACAAUAUGACUUAGGGACAGUAUUACAUUAAAAUAUUAACAAUAGUUAACUAUCAUGGUUAAUGUCUGUUUCCUGAAUCUUCUUUUCUUGUUUUACACUUCUCUUUAUUCUUUAUAGUAUUAAAAAUGAUGUAAUAAAUAAUAAAAUAUAGUAGUACUUUACAGCAUAAGGUUUAGAAAAUAGAAGGAAUAUUGACAAUUGUCUGUUUCAUAUUCAUUGAUUUUAUCUUUUGAGUAAUGUCAAUAUCAACAAAUGAUUGAAUAAAGUGUUUCAAGAGGUGAAAGUCAUGCUUGAUUUCAUACUGCUUUACCAUAUCACUAGUGGCAUUAUGAUUUUGUCUGGACAUACAGUGACAAUUGUUUUCCUUCUUGAUAAUUUAUUAUUAAAAUUCAGAAUUAUGAGACUCAUGGUAAAGAUAAAAAGCAUAAAGUUGAAGUUUAAAAAUAAUUAGAGUAAAUAUUCUACUAAUUCUUAAUAUAUAUCUAAAUUGUUCUCUUCCUUAUCUGCUACUUUUAUUAAUCUUAUCAAAAUUCCUCUAGCACGGUGAAGCCAUUUUUAGCACUUCAGCUAAUAAAACUAGAAUGGAGAUACCAAUUUCGCACUAGACAGAAUGACUAAAAUGUAAAAUAUUGACCACAUCAAAGGUUGGCAAGGAUGUGGGAUAAAUAAAGCUUAUCUCAGUAUGUUAUUCAUAGGAGGGAGUAUGAAAUGGUACAACCACUUAGGAAAAGUAUAUGUAGUUUCCCACACAUGUAUCUGCUGCAUGAACCAGCAGUACCAUCUUUAGUCAUUUAGUGGGAGAAAUGAAGGAUUCUCAAACAGAUUUAUACAAGAGUGAUUUAUAGCAGCUUUAUUCAUAGUAGGUCCAAACUGGAACCAACACAAUUUCCAUCGAGAGGGAAACAGAUAAACAAAUUGGGGUGAUUUCACGCAAUUGAACACAACUUGGCAAUAAAAACUAAAUUCAUGCCUGAUAUGAACAAUAACAUGAAUGGAUUUCAAGGAUAUUAUAGCAAAGGAAAAGAGCCAAAGAUAAUAUUACAUUCUGCAUGAUUCCAUUUAUAUGAAGUUCAAGAACAAACACAGCUAAUUUAUGGUGCUAGAAAUCAGAAUCAUUGUCACUUAACAAGCUGAGAGUUGACUGGAAGGGGCAUGAGGAAAUACCCUAGAGUGUUGGAAGUGUUUACUAUCUUGAUUGGGGUGGUGGCUAUUUGGAUAUACACAUUUAUGCACUAAUUCACUCAACUGAAUAAACUUAUGAUCUGU